CGGUAAUAACGGCCACUGCUGCCUCUUUCCCUCUCCCAGAGGCCACGCUGUGGGUGCGGUUGUCCGUUCGUCCCCUGGGGAUGCCGUUGACUGCAGCGGCCUCAGGCUUGCGUGGGCUGUCUCUGCCUGGCCUCCCUCUCCUUGCGGCGCGGGAGCACAGAGGGACAGGCGGAGCGCUUCCUGGCUGUGGACAGGAGCUGCAGAAGCUGACGCUGAAGCUGGAGAGGCCACAGAAAGGUAAAGCUGCUGAAGAAUAAAAUAAAGAGGAUCCAGCCACCAGCUGCAGACAGGAGAUAGCCUGCCUCUCCAGGUGGAUGACAGUCAAGUGAGUGCAGCUACAGAGGAGGAAGGGAGAGGGAGAGAGAGACAGACAUGUCUGAACUGUCAAAUUCUCCCAGCAGCUCCAACAGCAGGAGCCUGCAGUGAAGACCAUGGUGACACAGGCUGUCCCCCUGCAGCCCACGGAGGUCCGUGGCGGAGCAGAUGUGCACCCUGCAGCCGAUGGAGGACCCCUCGCCAGAGCAGGCGGAUUCACCCGAAGGAGGCUGUGAUGCUGUGGAGAGGAGCCCACAGUGGAGCAGGUUUUCUGGCAGGACCUGCGGCCCCACGGGAGUGACACCACACUGGAACAGAAGAAGAGCACAAAGAAGGAAGGAGCAGCAGAGACAACUUGUGAUGAACUGACUGCAACCCCCCGCUCCUUCUCCCCCUGUGCUGCUCGGUAGGAGGAGGUAGAGAAGUCAGGAGUGAAGAUGAGCCCAGGAAAAAAAGAGAGGGGUGGGGGGAAGGUGUUUUUCAGAUUUGUUCGUAUUUCUCAUUA